ensembl:lncRNA
GUUCUUAGCCUUGUGAUCUCAUAAUUACUGUUAUCAUUUCAUCUGAAAACUAAGUCAUUGUCCGAUGUUAGUGUAGAGCAGGAAGUGAACAUACCUGUAAAUUCCCACAGUAAAAUGUUUUUGGACAAAACACAAAAAUGUUUGACCUGAAACAAAGUCUGAUUAUUUCGUUGAGGUGAUUUUUUUUUGUAUGGAUUCCGUUAUGCACCAGCCUUUGUUAAAGUAUUGUCCAGAUCUUAGCAGGCAUCUUACUGUGAACAAACACAGCUUUCACAGCAUGCGUUGUUUUCAGAGAGAGAUGAAAAAUCCAUUCAGACCAUUAGCUUUUUUUUGUAUUCCUUGAAAAAAGCAGCCACAAAAAAACUCUAACCUUCUGUUUGCUAUCCCUUGUUUGCUAAUCUCCUCUGGAAUUUCUUUUCUGAGGAAAUAGAUUGUUUCUAAGUGUGGAUAAUAAUAAGCUCAAUGAAACUGUUCUUUACUUUUUCCAUUGACCGUUGAAGCAGAAGCAGAGUCCUUACUGUUACAAAGCCAUUCCUCAUCCACUGGAGAGGAUCAACACUAAUACAAUGAACUCAAAGAGGCACACGAUCCAUAGUAGUCUGUUGUAUAUUCAGACGUCCCAAAAUCUUGAUUGCUAGUAAGAGCAAGGGUUAGUGUGUCUGUGUGUGUGUGUGUGUUGGGGAUUGUGGGAGGGGAUUAUUAUGGGAAAACUAGUGAUUUCGGAGCAAUUCAUUCAUGCUGAAUUCCCCUGCUGUAAAAAAAAAAAAAUAUUAAACCAGUUUACAUUUUAAGCUGGUCCAUUCUGGUCUAUAUUGAGUUUUGGAUGGAUGCUGGUGAAGGUGGUCAUUUGAUAGCAGGUUUACCAUCAUGGUUUAUUUUGUUCUACUUGUGGCUAGCAUUUCCUGGGUUUUGGAUAUGCCAGCAUAUUGUUAUGAUAGUUGUAUGCUUAUGUUUGUUUACCACAAAGUUGCUUGUUGUUCCAGCUGGCCAAGUUGGUUGUUGUUCUAUCUUGCUGGUCAAGCUUAUUGUUUUUCUAUUUAGCUGAUCAAGAUGGUUUUUGUUUGAUCUUGAUGGUCAGUCUGGUUUAAUCUCAUUACUUUUCCCAGCAUGUUCAGUUUUUUUAGUUUUUGUGGUGUUUCAGGGCGAUAAAUUAUUAAACGAAUAUUAUGGUAAUCGGUAAAAUAACUGAAAAAUAAAUAAGCGUUGUGGCGUCGAAAUAUGCUUCAGAUCAUUGACUUGGAAGUGUCAGACUCCUGGCAAAGGCAAUCAUGUUUUGGGCAAAAUUAUCCUCAUGCUCAUUAAAGUUCAUAAAGCCUUUGAUGUUAACAAUGGCUCCAGGACCAAUGGAAGCCAAAUAGCCCUAUCACAUUAAUAUAUAUAGAUACAGGGAUAUACCACUGUAACAGUAC